AAAAAGACAGAACCUGAUUUCCGUGUCCAACAUUUGACCGUUCGUCUUAUUUGAAAAAGUUAUGAAAAAAAUUAAAAAGAUAAGUCACGUAUAAAGUAUUAAUCAAAUUUUAUCAUUAAACAACAAUAAAAAUACUAAUUAUAAAAAAUUUCAUAUAAAACGGACAGUCAAACGUUAGCACAGGAAUCCACGAUUUUUUUUUUG
rfam:Oryza sativa (indica cultivar-group) chromosome 1, whole genome shotgun sequence.